rfam:Triticum aestivum genome assembly, contig: Triticum_aestivum_CS42_TGACv1_scaffold_423367_5BS
CAUAUACUCCCUCCGUCCGAAAUUACUUGUCAUCAAAAUGAAUGAAAUGGAUGUAUCUAGAACUAAAAUACAUCUAGAUACAUCCAUUUCAAUGACAAGUAUUUUCGGACGGAGUAAGUACUUA